rnacentral:lncRNA from 1 species
GAGAGAGAGAGAGAGAGAGAGAGAGAGAGAGUAUAGGAGUAUUGUAGUUUCAACAAGGAUACCAUGAAUGAGCCGUCGCGGCGCAAGACACGCGCUGGCCCGCCCAAUGUGGCCCCGGCACGCCCAGGCGAACGUCGCAUCGCCGACAACUCAAUGAAUGAACUUCUUUUUUUCUUUUUUUUUUCUCUUUAUAUACUAUGGUCGUACUGAGUGCUUUAUGCAUGCAGCAUAAUAAUUCUUUUUUCCUGAAGAAGCAACGAACCUAGCUGUGUGCUGUCUUUAAAGGCCAGAUGCCAAUAUCAAGGCAUCAAGCUGUCCUGUCUCCCACGAAAAAUUCGGGCCUUCAAAAACAGGAUAUAUAGGUUCCAUCAACUUUGGAUUGUAUCAAUACCAAUAAUCUUCAUUAUAUUGAAACUAAAUAUGCUUGCUCUCGCAAUACAUGCGUGUUUGCAUUGUGAAGACAGACGUAUGCUUGCUUACAAUACUUGAGCCUUUUAAAAAUACCUAUCUCCUUUGUAAUCCCUCUAUGUAGUAUUUGCAUAAACAUCUUCUUGCCUAAAUAAUAUUUGCAUGUGAACUGCUUCGGUACUCCCCUUUUAAUUUAUAGCAGAAAUAUUAAAGCAGUCCACCAUUUUAAAUAAUUAAUUUUAUAAUUAUUUCUCGUCUGGAUUUCGAGUUGGCCCAGCCUAGGCCGUGUUCAGCCCAAACCUGCAUCCGUGAUCCAUUCCCUUCCUUCCCCCUCCUCCGCGUUCAUCUCUGAAGCCGCUUGAGCUUCAACACAGCACAGAGAUGAGAGCGGCAGCGGCCACUCACCGGCGGCGGUGUCGGAGCCAUGGAACUAACCAAGGACGGCGAGGAAUGGCUGCGUGAGGAGCUCCGCUGAGAUGAGAGCAGUGGUGCUCAAAGACUGCUCACUAAGUGUCACACCCAUAUUUUAAGAAUAAAAUAGGAUGCAUAAAAGACUCAUAUGUGCUCCAGAAACAGUCGCACAUAUAGGUAGACAAAUCUCAAAUGUACCAUUGCAGUGUUAUUACAUCGUGGAACGAUAGUAAAUCACAUAGUCUUAUACAAUAAUGAUAAUAAGAAAUAAACAACGCUCUCGACGGAAGCACCACACAGGGACACUGUUGACUGGUUGACUCCAAGCCUAGUACUCAUAACGGUAGUCCUCUUUCCAAUCAUCUUCGUUAACAUAACCUGGGGUGUUGGGAAAUUGCAAGAGUGAGCACAUAUCGUACUCAACAAGUAUAACCAGGGUUUCAUGAGGCUCAAUAAGCUGACACUGGUUAGACUGCAUUUAGCUUUUAUAUGUAGAUAGCAUAUUUAUAUUUAGAUAGCAAAUGUCAAGGUACCAUAAUUCAUCCCAUAACCACAUGAUCAAUGUAUACAAUAAUUAAGAAUAACACAUAUAAACAACAUCAUAAAUCAUCAUUUAUCAUCAUUAAUCAUGUUCAUCAGUGUCCAUCUAUUCCGUCAGUUUUCCGGGCCGCCCGUAUCCGUGGGCACGGCUAGUAUACCAGAUUUAACACUCUGC